CGAGCGAACUGAUUAGAAGCUUGCUUCUAUGACGUUAGCGGCGGACGGGAGAGUAACACGUGGGCAACCUGCCUGUAAGACUGGGAUAACUCCGGGAAACCGGAGCUAAUACCGGAUAACAUUUUUUCUUGCAUAAGAGAAAAUUGAAAGAUGGUUUCGGCUAUCACUUACAGAUGGGCCCGCGGUGCAUUAGCUAGUUGGUGAGGUAACGGCUCACCAAGGCAACGAUGCAUAGCCGACCUGAGAGGGUGAUCGGCCACACUGGGACUGAGACACGGCCCAGACUCCUACGGGAGGCAGCAGUAGGGAAUCUUCCGCAAUGGACGAAAGUCUGACGGAGCAACGCCGCGUGAGUGAUGAAGGCUUUCGGGUCGUAAAACUCUGUUGUUAGGGAAGAACAAGUACAAGAGUAACUGCUUGUACCUUGACGGUACCUAACCAGAAAGCCACGGCUAACUACGUGCCAGCAGCCGCGGUAAUACGUAGGUGGCAAGCGUUAUCCGGAAUUAUUGGGCGUAAAGCGCGCGCAGGCGGUUUCUUAAGUCUGAUGUGAAAGCCCACGGCUCAACCGUGGAGGGUCAUUGGAAACUGGGGAACUUGAGUGCAGAAGAGAAAAGCGGAAUUCCACGUGUAGCGGUGAAAUGCGUAGAGAUGUGGAGGAACACCAGUGGCGAAGGCGGCUUUUUGGUCUGUAACUGACGCUGAGGCGCGAAAGCGUGG
rnacentral:rRNA from 2 species